GAGCCGAAAGGCCCUUUCGGGGGUACUCGAGCGGCGAACGGGUGAGUACACGUGAGUAACCUGUCCUUGGCUUUGGGAUAACCCUCGGAAACGGGGGCUAAUACCGGAUAUGACCUUGUCCUGCAUGGGGUGGGGUGGAAAGUUUUUUCGGCUAGGGGUGGGCUCGCGGCCUAUCAGCUUGUUGGUGGGGUGAUGGCCUACCAAGGCGACGACGGGUAGCCGGCCUGAGAGGGCGACCGGCCACACUGGGACUGAGACACGGCCUAGACUCCUACGGGAGGCAGCAGUGGGGAAUAUUGCACAAUGGGCGGAAGCCUGAUGCAGCGACGCCGCGUGAGGGAUGACGGCCUUCGGGUUGUAAACCUCUUUCAGCAGGGACGAAGCGUGAGUGACGGUACCUGCAGAAGAAGCGCCGGCCAACUACGUGCCAGCAGCCGCGGUAAG
rnacentral:rRNA from 1 species